UACGUAGGGUGCAAGCGUUGUCCGGAAUUAUUGGGCGUAAAGGGCGCGUAGGCGGCUACGCGCGUCCGUUGUGAAAUCGCUCGGCUCAACUGGGCGGGGUCAGCGGAUACGGUGUAGCUGGAGCAAGCUAGGGGGCAAUGGAAUUCCCGGUGUAGUGGUGGAAUGCGUAGAUAUCGGGAGGAACACCAGUGGCGAAGGCGGUUGCCUGGAGCUUUGCUGACGCUGAUGCGCGAAAGCGUGGGGAGCGAUCCGG
rnacentral:rRNA from 1 species